GACGGAGGGGCUAGCGUUGUUCGGAAUUACUGGGCGUAAAGAGCGCGUAGGCGGAUUAGUAAGUUGGAAGUGAAAGCCCGGGGCUUAACCUCGGAAUAGCUUUCAAAACUACUAGUCUUGAGUGUAGUAGGGGGAUGAUGGAAUUCCUAGUGUAGAGGUGAAAUUCUUAGAUAUUAGGAGGAAACACCGGUGGCGAAGGCGGUCAUCUGGGCUACAACUGACGCUGAGGCGCGAAAGGCGUGGGGAGCAAACAGG
rnacentral:rRNA from 1 species